rnacentral:lncRNA from 1 species
CAAUUAGAGGAAACAAAGAACGUAAGUACAGAGAUGGGACCUGAAAAUGUAAGAUGUGUCCAGGAAACCAAGAAAACAUCAAAAGAAACUGUAGUUAAAACACACAAAUCUAUAAAAAAUGAGACCAAAGCAUCUCAGGGAAACAAGGAAGCAGAAAGAGGUCAAAGCUUAAAGUUAAAGAAGUCACAUUUUGAAAACACAAAUGAAGCACCACUUGAUGUUCAUAGCUUGCAAGCAAACAGGAAUUCAAUACAAAAAACUAAUCAAACACAUGGAAAUAAGAGAGGUCAAAAAGGUAUAUUGGACAUUAAGGAAGGUGAAUUUGCCAAAAAUGAAAAAAUGAUGCCAGAGAAUAUAUCAGAAACUGAACCAGAGACAAUUUCUACAAAAGACUCCCUAGGAUCUCUACAGACAGUGCAAAGCUCCAAAACCAAGGAAGCCUCAAACAAUCCAACUGCUGCAAUGGUAUACGGUCCUAAAGAUGAUGAGAGAACUGUUCUUAGACGUGGAAAGAGUAUAAGGAAAGGUGAUGGCAAACAGGAAGCAUCUGAAACCAAACAAAUAGAGAUUUUAGAAAAUAAUCCUACAGAAGCAAAUGAAAAUAUACCAAGAAGGGACAGAGGGAAAAAAGUUCAUUUUGAACUUGAGGAAGCCAGUUCUGCUUCUCUCAGAGGAAAACAAAUUUUACCUGAAGGUAAUGAUAAAGACCAAAAUGAGACUUCAGAAAACAUUCCUUCUCAAGCAAAUGAAAAUCUCUCAGGAAGGGGCAGAAGGAAAGAAGUUGAUCUCUCACCACAUGCAGUUAGUUCCACUUCUCUUAGAGAAAAAUACAGCUUGCCAGAAAGUGAUGCCAAAAAAGAAGCUGCUAAAAAAGACCAUGAUGCAGCUUUGGAAUCUACUGCUUCCCCAACAAAAGAGAAUACAUCUAGAAGAGGCAGAAGGAAACAGGUUGAGCUCACAACACAGGCAGCUAGUUCCACUUCUCUCCGAGGAAAAAGCAACUUGCCAGAAAAUGAUGGUAAAGAGAAUGUUCCGAAAGAAGACCAAAAUGUGCCUUUGGAAAACAUUGCUUCCCAGGCAUCAAAAAGGGGCAGAAGGAAACAGGUUGAUCUCACAACACAGGCAGCUAGUUCCACUUCUCUCCGAGGAAAAAGCAGCUUGCCAGAAAAUGAUGGUAAAGAGAAGAGUCCUAAAGAAGACCAAAAUGUGCCUUUGGAAAAUACAACUGAGGCAAAAGCUAAUUCACCAAGAAAGGGCAGAAGAAAACAGGUUGAGCUCACAACACAGGCAGCUAGUUCCACUUCUCUCCGAGGAAAAAGCAGCUUGCCAGAGAAGGUUCCUAAAGAAGGCCAAAAUGUGCCUUUGGAAAACAUUACUUCCCAGGCAUCAAAAAGGGGCAGAAGGAAACAGGUUGAGCUCACAACACAGGCAGCUAGUUCCACUUCUCUCCGAGGAAAAAGCAGCUUGCCAGAGAAGGUUCCUAAAGAAGGCCAAAAUGUGCCUUUGGAAAACAUUACUUCCCAGGCAUCAAAAAGGGGCAGAAGAAAACAGGUUGAGCUCACAACACAGGCAGCUAGUUCCACUUCUCUCCGAGGAAAAAGCAGCUUGCCAGAGAAGGUUCCUAAAGAAGGCCAAAAUGUGCCUUUAGAAAACAUUAUUUCCCAGGCAUCAAAAAGGGGCAGAAGGAAACAAGUUGAUCUCACAUCACAGGCAGCUAGUUCCACUUCUUUCCGAGGAAAAAGCAGCUUGCCAGAAAGUGAUGGUAAGGAGAAGGUUCCUAAAGAAGACCAAAAUGUGCCUUUGGAAAAUACAACCGAGGCAAAAGCUAAUCCACCAAGAAAGGGCAGAAGGAAACAGGUUGAUCUCACAUCUCAAGCAGCUACUUCCACUUCUCUCAGGGGAAAACGCCACAUGCCCAAGGAUGAAAAGGCAGCCAAAAAAUUAAAAUCAGAAUGUGGUGAAAGUAUAACUCUGCAGAAAGAAACAAGAAACAAAACUAAAGGAGAACUUGGCAAAGGUGGUAUAAGCAUGAUUCAGAGUGCUGGAGGAACAGAAAGGAAAACAAGAACAAGAGCAAGAACAAGACAAUAACCUCCUUAAAAGUUGUAGAGCCAGUUUUGAAUUUUUUUCAGUAUUUGAUUUUGCAAUUUUUUUACGUACUUAGAUUUGAUAGAGUUGUAAAGCAUUCCGUGAAUUUAGGUAUAAUGGAGAUAUGUUUAUCUGUUUAUAUAAGUAGAAGAGAUACCUCUUUAAAUGGCAUAAUUCAGCCAAAUAUAUUUGCUUUCCAAACUGUUGUGAGCUUGUACAAAAUUACAGCAACCAAAAAACUUUGUGUGCCAACACUGAUGCCUCUUUUCAUUGAUGAUCAUUUCAGCAGUCUGGAAGUUGUAUUACUUUGCUGAAUCUGCCCAUAUGUAAUUGUACGUUCUUACCUACUUAGCUUAAUUUUGGGAUACUGGAGUUUUAUUUUUUCAUGAAAGUUCUGUAAAUAUCCUUUUAAAAAAGUCUACAGGUUUUUAUUGGCAAAACUAUUAUGUGGGAUUUCUGAUUUAACAGCUUAAAUUGACUACUGCAAAAAAUGCAAAUAGAUUUUUA